AUCCCAUGACAAGGACACUUAUGAAGUAACCCCUUGAAUCGCUCCCAAGCCUCAUACAAAGACUAUUUAUCCAAUUAUUGGAAAGUUGUGAUCUCGUUCCUCAACUU
rfam:Gossypium arboreum cultivar AKA8401 contig_7018_3, whole genome shotgun sequence.